AAACAAGAACAACAGUACCGUACUAACAUAACAAAAAUUGAAUUUCAUUAGGCAUCUAUAAAGACAAUACUGUGAAAUAGAAGAGUUUUCAGUAAAAUCCAUGUGCUCUCUAACUCCCCCCCACCCUCUUUUUUAUAUCGUGCAUAAGAUGACUGGGUUAGAGUCUCAAACAAAAUAGCAGAUUGUCUCAGUGCUAGACUACUAGUUACAUAAUCUAACCUCAAUUAGCUCGUUCAAAACACUAGGAAUUCAAGUUGCAAAUAACUAUCUGACAGGUGCCAAACAAUAUUAAUUUUGCAAUAGAGAAUUCAAUUUCUUCUAUGAUCUAUUACCUAAAAGGUGUCAUGGCACAUUUCAAUCACUUUUUUAAGGCAUUUUUAAAAGUUGGUCAUCAAUUGCAGAUCCCUUCUCUACAAACAAUCUGAUAUUUCUUUGUUCAUACAGUUUAUGGCUUGAUCACUGCCUAAAGUUUAAGAUAAAGUAAAAACGAAAAUAGCUCAAUAAGCAUGUCCUUCAAAAGACAGAUUGGGCUUAAGUUCAGCAGAAUGUUUGAACCUUGGCAUGGUUUUUUUUUUAGUAGUGCCAGACAAAUCCCCGGGCCCAUGAUAUGUCUAUUUUGAUUUUAUCAUCAAUAUAGACAGAUAGACCAAAAAUUAAUCAAACACCGGGAAUGAUGAAUUGAUGAUUGAUGUUAUUUAAUCCCAGUGAUUAUGAUUUGUUAUACUGCAGUAACAUAGAGAGUUACAAAGAAGCUUAUAUAUCCCAUUUACACAAAUAAUCCCUUACUAAUUACUAUAAGACUUUAGUGAAGAUUUGCUUCCAUUAUGUCAGGUAAAAAUUACUUAUAAUCCAACUUCUAGAUAUUAUUUCAUCAAAACAUGAAAUAUCUUUACAUUCUUUGAAGUUCUGCCCAAGUACACAUAAUAGUUUCAACUAUGUUUGGUAUUAUCAUCUCUGAACAAAAACAGCAGCAGGAAAUACCACCAUCCUAAAUCUCAUGUCUUGAUGCCAAAACAUGCAGUUGGGAGAAGAUUCUUUUAGUUUCCUAACAAGUCUGAAUAUACUAUUGUGCAUAACCAUACCUAUGAAGAAGUGCUCAAGCAGAUAGGACUAGCGAAUGUCCACUGUAAAUUUACGGCAGAAUAAUGAGAUCCUAAAGAUAUUAAACAGCUAAUAAGACAAUAAAUUGUUUACAAA
rnacentral:misc_RNA from 1 species